CAACCGCAUAAGCAAAAAAAAAAAAAAAGUAAAAAUAUCUGCGAAUAAUACGAUUUUCAGACGACUGAAAUAACCUCCACACAAAUUCAUACUUUGAUCAUUCUUAAAGAAUACAUAUAUAGGGGAAAGAUAAGUUGAGAAAGAUAAAAUAAAAUUCAUUGGAAUGACGACAGAGCAGGAGAUACAGCUGCACGCUGCUUAGAGCGAUUCCAUUUAUGGUGACUUCAACCGCUGUAGAAGGGGAGGAAGGAUGGCGCAGCAUAGCAGUUUGGUGCAUACAAAUGCAUAGUAACUGCAUUCAAAGUGCAUAGUGAUUGCAUUCAAAGUGCAUGUAGAAAUGCAGUGUGUUUUAGUGUACGUGUACCCUUGCAGCGAAGUGCAUAAGCUGAAAUGCAGUUGAGGAUGAAUGAGGUACGAUGAGAGGAGGAAAGGUAAGAAAAGUGCAGUUGAAGGGAAUGAAAAAGGACACAAAAAGUGCAGUCUCGGGAAAAAAUGCAGUUGCAGGGGGAAACAAAAUGUAAAAAAUGCACUUUAAUUGAGGGGAAAUUCAUAUUUGCUGCAGUAGUAGUCCCCCCCCCCCCCUCGUCUUUCAUAUUUGGGAUGCAGUUGCAUAAUUUACUUAGUAACAAUAAUGCAAAUGCAAUUGCAUAAAGCAACAGUCACGCAAUUCUUCCUUCACAUUGCAUUCUCCCAAUCCAAAUUACAUAAAGCAGCUUUUGGAAGAGUCCAUUUUUAAUGUUUCAGUCUCCCUCAACUAAAUCCAAAUCAAUGCCUCCCUCAAAAAACAAGUUUAACUCUCAAAUAAGAACACACUUUUUUCGAGUCAAUUUAGUUAUUUAAAAUUAUAUAUACAUAUAAUGUAAAUAUUAAUAUUUUAUUUUUUUAAUGGACUCGAAACCCAUCAAAAAUUCAGCAUUUGCAGUUAGGACGAGUCCACUUUAAAAAAAGCUGGUUUUAUGGCAGUUUUGGCAAACUGUAGCUUUUUAGGAUUGCCUCCUAUGCCCGUAACGCAAAAAUAUUAUUUCUUCUCUUAAAUGAUAAGCUGUUGUACCUACAGUAGUGACUAGUAGUGAUUUUAAUCGAAAAUCGUCUAUAAACUCCGGAUAUUCAUUUUUUUAAACAAUUACUCCUUUGUCUUCUGGAGAUUUUGAUUCGUAUCGAUGGAUAUUAUGGUAAAAUAUCACAUUGCCUAAUAGUCGUAAAAAUCCGACAUGUUCCGCGAUAGAUUAAGUUAGAAAAAAAGAAGACCAUCUUAUCGUAUUGAGUGAACGUGGAUCGAACCUAUUGAGUUCAAGAAAAUAAUUGUUUACUAAGCUACGGCGCUCCAUGAGUCUUUUAGAGUUCACAUUAAGUCUUAAUUAGAUUAAAUGAUUGUCCUACUAGUUUGUAACUAAUCUUCACGUUGUAUUCUUAAUUAUAUAAAUUCGGAAAAAACCCGCAGAAUUAAGACGUAAUUCUGGAUACUGUUUGAGCUACUCAUUAGUUUUCUCAAAAUGUCUUGCAUAAUGAAUUCGAAAUUUCUAAUUUUCUGGGUAACAUUACGAUUCUGAGUGGGUUUUUCUAAAACUAGUCAAUUAAUACAUAAAGUAUGAAGUUGAGUCUGUUUAAAGAAGUAUUUUUGGAUAUUUUUUGGAAGGAAAGGAUAACAUAGAAGAUCACCUAUAGCAAAAUUUUCGUUGAAUAUUCAUCAAAUAUCAGAGCUUAACGCUCAAUUAAUAUUUAUUGAGUGAAAUAAAAAGUACUAUAUACUUAUAAAUAAUUUAUUUAAUGUUGUGGAUGAUAAACUAUAAUAUUCAACUCUGUCAAUAUUUUCAAUUCAUAGAUGCAAACCUUUUUUUUAUAAUCUCAAAUAUUGGUGUUAAAGUUUCUUAUAAAUAAUUGAAAGUGCAAACAGAAAAAUCAAGUUUGAAAAUUUUGAGUGUAAGUCUGAUGAAAAGGAAUGAUAGUUUGAGAGAUAAUUGAUUUCCACAAUAAUCAUGGAAUAAAUUCAAAAAUUCGACAAAUACA
rnacentral:lncRNA from 1 species